UACGUAGGGUGCGAGCGUUAAUCGGAAUUACUGGGCGUAAAGCGUGCGUAGGUGGUUUGUUAAGUCUGAUGUGAAAGCCCUGGGCUCAACCUGGGAAUUGCAUUGGAUACUGGCAGGCUAGAGUGCGGUAGAGGAUGGCGGAAUUCCCGGUGUAGCAGUGAAAUGCGUAGAGAUCGGGAGGAACAUCUGUGGCGAAGGCGGCCAUCUGGACCAGCACUGACACUGAGGCACGAAGCGUGGGGAGCAAACAGG
rnacentral:rRNA from 1 species